AAUGAGUGUGGAGACACUGGUAUGGCAUACAAGUGAGAUGUAAGGGUACAUCUGCACUGAACGUGACCAACUCCGGAGCUAUUUCUGCUAUCAAGAUUUGCUCCGAUGGAAUAUGGGUAUAAAUAUCCCUCCGACCUGAGACCGCCAUGGUGACUUGCAAGCAACUCACUGCACUUAGGCACUGGACUACCUAAAUUUUUAAUUCAGUGACGGAAGGCUGCUAGGUGUAGUCAAGUAC
rnacentral:lncRNA from 1 species